GAUAAACGCUGGCGGCGUGCCUAAAACAUGCAAGUCGAACGGGUGUCUUCGGACACCAGUGGCGGACGGCUGAGUAACACGUGGGUGACCUGCCCUCGAGCGGGGGAUAACUGCCCGAAAGGGUGGCUAAUACCGCAGACAUCCAGCAUUCGGUUGGUGGAUUGAACCUACGGGGUUCGGGGAGGGGCCCGCGGUCGAUUAGCUGGUUGGUGGGGUAACGGCCUACCAAGGCUGCGAUCGAUAGCUGGUCUGAGAGGAUGAUCAGCCAGACUGGGACUGCGAACGGCCCAGACUCCUACGGGAGGCAGCAGUUAGGAAUUUUGGGCAAUGGGCGGAAGCCUGACCCAGCAACGCCGCGUGGGUGAUGAAGGCCCUCGGGUCGUAAAGCCCUUUUCCCAGGGACGAUGGUGACGGUACCUGGGGAAUCAGCCCCGGCUAACUACGUGCCAGCCGCCGCCGUAACAC
rnacentral:rRNA from 1 species